rnacentral:rRNA from 1 species
GUCCACGCUGUAAACGAUGAUUACUAGGUGUGGGGGGUCUGACCCCUUCCGUGCCGGAGUUAACACAAUAAGUAAUCCACCUGGGGAGUACGGCCGCAAGGUUGAAACUCAAAGGAAUUGACGGGGGCCCGCACAAGCAGUGGAGUAUGUGGUUUAAUUCGAAGCAACGCGAAGAACCUUACCAGGUCUUGACAUCCAACUAACGAAGUAGAGAUACAUUAGGUGCCCUUCGGGGAAAGUUGAGACAGGUGGUGCAUGGUU